UACGGAGGGUGCAAGCGUUAUCCGGAUUUACUGGGUUUAAAGGGUGCGCAGGCGGAUAUGUAAGUCAGUGGUGAAAUCUCUGGGCUUAACCCGGAAAUUGCCAUUGAUACUAUAUAUCUUGAAUGCUGUGGAGGUAAGCGGAAUAUGUCAUGUAGCGGUGAAAUGCUUAGAUAUGACAUAGAACACCAAUUGCGAAGGCAGCUCGCUACACGAAUAUUGACUCUGAGGCACGAAAGCGUGGGGAUCAAACAGG
rnacentral:rRNA from 1 species